AACGCGAAGAACCUUACCAGGUCUUGACAUCCCAUUGACCGUUCUAGAAAUAGGAUUUUCCCUUCGGGGACAAAGGAUACAGGUGGUGCAUGGUUGUCCUCAUCUUGUGUUGUGAGAUGUUGGGUUAAGUCCCGCAAAGAGCACCCCCCCUGUUUUUAGUUGCCAGCAUUAAGUUGGGGACUCUAAGGAGACUGCCGGUGACAAACCGGAGGAAGGUGGGGAUGACGUCAAAUCAUCAUGCCCCUUAUGACCUGGGCUACACACGUGCUACAAUGGGUGGUACAAAGGGAAGCGAAGCCGUGAGGUGGAGCAAAUCUCAUAAAGCCAAUCUCAGUUCGGAUUGUAGGCUGCAACUCGCCUACAUGAAGUUGGAAUCGCUAGUAAUCGCGAAUCAGAAUGUCGCGGAAAAUACUUUCCCGGGUCUUCUACACACCG
rnacentral:rRNA from 1 species